UACGGGGGGGGCAAGCGUUGUUCGGAAUUACUGGGCGUAAAGGGCUCGUAGGCGCCCACUAAGUCCGACGUGAAAUCCCCAGGCUUAACUUGGGAACUGCGUCGGAUACUGGUGGGCUUGAAUCCGGGAGAGGGAUGCGGAAUUCCAGGUGUAGCGGUGAAAUGCGUAGAUAUCUGGAGGAACACCGGUGGCGAAGGCGGCAUCCUGGACCGGCAUUGACGCUGAGUGAGCGAAAGCCAGGGGAGCAAACGGG
rnacentral:rRNA from 1 species